rnacentral:rRNA from 1 species
UACGAGAGGCCCAAACGUUAUUCGGAAUUACUGGGCUUAAAGAGUUCGUAGGCGGCGCAGAAAGUAGGGUGGUGAAAGCCCUCGGCUCAACCGAGGAAUUGCGCUCUAAACUACUGUGCUUGAGGAAUCUAGAGGUGAGCGGAACUGAUGGUGGAGCGGUGAAAUGCGUUGAUAUCAAUCAGGAACCACCGGGAGGCGAAGGCGGCUCA